AACGAACGCUGGCGGCAGGCUUAACACAUGCAAGUCGAACGCACCUUUCGGGGUGAGUGGCAGACGGGUGAGUAACGCGUGGGAAUCUACCCUUCUCUACGGGAUAGCUCCGGGAAACUGGAAUUAAUACCGUAUACGUCCUGAGGGAGAAAGAUUUAUCGGGGAAGGAUGAGCCCGCGUUGGAUUAGCUAGUUGGUGGGGUAAAGGCCUACCAAGGCGACGAUCCAUAGCUGGUCUAAGAGGAUGAUCAGCCACAUUGGGACUGCGACACGGCCCAAACUCCUACGGAAGGGAGCAGUAGAGAAUAUUAGACAAUGGGCGCAGGCCUGAUCCAGCCAUGCGGCGUGAGUGAUGAAGGCCCUAGGAUUGUAAAGCUCUUUCAGUGGGGACGAUAAUGACGGUACCCACAGAAGAAGCCCCGGCUAACUACGUG
rnacentral:rRNA from 1 species